rnacentral:rRNA from 1 species
CCUACGGGAGGCAGCAGUGAGGAAUCUUGGUCAAUGGACGGAAGUCUGAACCAGCCAUGCCGCGUGCAGGAAGACGGCUCUAUGAGUUGUAAACUGCUUUUGUACAAGGGUAAACCUGAAUACGUGUAUUCAGCUGAAAGUACUGUACGAAUAAGGAUCGGCUAAAUCCGUGCCAGCAGCCGCGGUAAUACGGAGGAUCCAAGCGUUAUCCGGAUUUAUUGGGUUUAAAGGGUGCGUAGGCGGAUUGAUAAGUUAGAGGUGAAAUGUCCGAGCUUAACUCGGGAACUGCCUCUAAUACUGUUGGUCUAGAGAGUAGAUGCGGUAGGCGGAAUGUAUGGUGUAGCGGUGAAAUGCUUAGAGAUCAUACAGAACACCGAUUGCGAAGGCAGCUUACCAAUCUAUAUCUGACGUUGAGGCACGAAAGCGUGGGGAGCAAACAGGAUUAGAUACCCUUGUAGUC